GAUGAAGAACGUAGCGAAAUGUGAUAAGUAAUGUGAAUUGCAGAAUUCAGUGAAUCAUCGAAUCUUUGAACGCACCUUGCGCUCCUUGGUAUUCCGAGGAGCAUGUCUGUUUGAGUGUCAUGAACUCUUCAACCCAUCAGUUUCUUAUGAACUGGCUGGUGUUUGGUUUCUGAGCGCUGCUGGUCCACGGAUCGAGCUCGUUCGUAAUGCAUUAGCAUCUCUAAUUCGACUUCGAUUGACUCAGUGUAAUAGACUAUUCGCUGAGGACACGCCUCACGGUGUGGCCGAAUGAGAUCUCAGUAGAAGCUGCCAACCCUUCUAGUCAAUUUAAGAUUAGACCUCAGAUCAGAUAGGAUUACCCGCUGAACUUAAGCAUAUCAAUAAGCGGAGGA
rnacentral:misc_RNA from 1 species